rnacentral:pre_miRNA from 2 species
GAUUUUAACUGAAAAAGUCAUCAAUUACAAAGUGGUAUAACUCAUCAAUAUCUAUAACUUUUGUUUGGGUCAUUUCUUCAUCCGAUAAAGUGAUUUAUAAGAUUUUUCACAAAAUAUAUAUAUCUCUUAUAUAGUUUAUAAACUAUAGGAGAUAUAUGUAAAUUUUGUGAACAAUGAUACUAUCACUUUAUCGGAUGAAGAAAUGGCCAAAAUAAAAUUUAUAUAUAUUGAUGAGUUAUACAACUUUAUUGUUGAUGAAUUUUUCAGUUGAAAUC